rnacentral:rRNA from 1 species
UUCCCGGGCCUUGUACACACCGCCCGUCACACCACGUAAGUUGGCAAUACCCGAAGCCGGUGGCCUAACCCGCAAGGGAGGGAGCCGUCUAAGGUAGGGUCGAUGAUUGGGGUG